rnacentral:lncRNA from 1 species
UUCUAUCUUUGUAACUCCGUUGUAAUAUAUUUGUGAAUAAAUAAAAUCAAGAGUUCUGCAAUUCUUUCUAUCUUUGUAACUCCGUUGUAAUAUAUUUGUGAAUAAAUAAAAUCAGAGUUCUCCAAAUUUAGCCAGGUAUUACUUUACUUUCUGUUUAUAUUUCAACAUUUUGUGUUAUUAUCGGUAGCCCAAUGAUGAGCUAAGUUCUUAAGUGUUGAAUAAUAACUGACAUGGUUUGAGGAAGGUCUUGAAAGGCAAUGACUCUAAAAUAACAGCUUGCCUUGAAGGGGUUAAGGUUUUAGCAUGGGUUGAGUUUAAAUAAUUUUAUAGCAAACUAAGCUUAAAUCAUGGCGUUGGUAAGCCCUAAAAUGGGUGUUCCUGACAUGGUUAGUGAUGAAUUAUAUCGGGUAUAAACCUCUUAAUUCCGUUGGUAAGUCCUGUAUGGCAGGUUGAAUCGCCUAUGGAUGUUCCCGGUUGGGUUUAUAACGAAUAAUUCGAGGUUUUUCUUUUCCAGCAGUGCUGNNNNNNNNNNNNNNNNNNNNCGUUGGUAGUCCUGUAUGGCAGGUUGAAUCGCCUAUGGAUGUUCCCGGUUGGGUUUAUAACGAAUAAUUCGCGGUUUGCAUAAAAUAGAUUAAACUGAAUAAAUCCCAGCUUUGUAAAAGUCCCU